AGAAUCAACGCUGGCGGCGUGCCUAACACAUGCAAGUCGAACGAGAAAGUGGAGCAAUCCAUGAGUACAGUGGCGCACGGGUGAGUAACACGUGACUAACCUACCCUUGAGUGGGGAAUAACCUGGAGAAAUCUAGGCUAAUACCGCAUAACACCUACGGGUCAAAGGAGCAAUUCGCUUAAGGAGGGGUCGCGGCAGAUUAGCUAGUUGGCGGGUAAUGGCCCACCAAGGCAGUGAUCUGUA
rnacentral:rRNA from 1 species